rnacentral:rRNA from 1 species
GACGAACGCUGGCGGCGUGCUUAACACAUGCAAGUCGAACGGAAAGGCCUCUUUCGGGGGGUACUCGAGUGGCGAACGGGUGAGUAACACGGGAGUAACCUGCCCUUGACUUUGGGAUAACUUCAGGAAACUGGGGCUAAUACCGGAUAGGAGCUCCUGCUGCAUGGUGGGGGUUGGAAAGUUUCGGCGGUUGGGGAUGGACUGGCGGCUUAUCAGCUUGUUGGUGGGGGAGUGGCUUACCAAGGCUUUGACGGGUAGCCGGCCUGCGAGGGUGAGCGGCGACAUUGGGACUGAGAUGCGGCCCAGACUCCGACGGGAGGCAGCAGUGGGGAAUAUUGAACAAUGGGUGGAAGCCUGAUGCAGCAACGCCGUGUGCGGGAUGACGGCCUUCGUGUUGUAGACCGCUUUCGCUCAUGACGAAGCUUUGUGUGACGGUAGUGGGUGAAGAAGCACCGGCUAACUACGUG